GUGUGUGUGUGUGUGUGUUUCUUCUCACACCCUGAGGUCAGCAGUCAGCUGGUGUUGUUGGGAUCCCACACUGAAGUCGUCAGGUCUUCACAGUAGCACACGUUUAGUCUGCUUUGAACCAGCCGAGCAGCAAGAGAAGUUCCGGAGAAAUAGACAGGGGAAAAAGAAAAGUGCGUUUGAACCAUGAACUCGGAUCAGAGAGGGAAAUGAAUUUGGAAGCAUUAUGUGAAGGAUUCCACUGUCUAUGACAAGGAGAAGGACAUCAUCUCUGUAUGCCGUCAGUUAGUGGAGGUGUGCGAUCAGAUCCUGAACUCCAGCGCUGAGACGCUUCUUACCCACACUGCUCAGCUCGAGAGCAUUGACCUCGUGACUGUGUCACCUGGUGAUCAGCUGUAUUCAUUUUCCGCCUUCAUCACUGCCUGGACGUUUUCAUCCCGCUCGCUUCCAC